UUGGUUCCAUGAAUUGGAACCAAACCAAACAAAAUUGAAUUUUCAGUUCCAGUUCUAUUCAGUUCUUUGAUGCUUUGGUUCAGAUUCAAUUUUGUACAAUCCGGUUCUCAUGCGGGUCUCAAUUUCUAAAAAAAAUUAUGUAAUUGCUGCCAUGUAAAGUCAAAACUAAUUAUAAUCGAACUUAAUUUUGAAUACUGACAUUCUAAUUAUAAUGUGAUCUUAAGUCAAGCAGUGGGAUUGUAUUUAGUGAAAUUGAAUACUAA
rnacentral:misc_RNA from 1 species